rnacentral:lncRNA from 1 species
CUCGUGAAGAACCAGUUUUUCCAAAUGGAGCUGUCCGAUGGAGACCACUUUGGAGAGAUCAGCUUCCUGUUUGGUGGAAGGCAGCUGGCCACAGUUUCUGCUCUGGCCGCCUGCAGCCUUUUCUCCCUGUCAAUAAAACAUUUUGAGGAGAUUGAGGAAGAGUUUCCACAUGUUGUGAAGGAACUGAGGGCAGUGGCUCAACAGCUCAAAGAUGAUCUCGAGGGUGUUGGGCUGGAACGUCAAGUUACAUCAGCAUCGAACAGUGUGUGCGACGACACAUCAGGACAUUUUGUUUUAGUCAAUUAGUCAUCGAUUGAAAAAGAUUAUUUUCUUGUUUUACAAUAAAAAAAUACAAUUUAAACUAGGUUUAUAUAUUUUUAUGUAUAGGUUAGAAGCUUAAGGCG